rnacentral:snRNA from 1 species
AUCGCUUCUUGGCCUUUUGGCUAAGAUCAAGUGUAGUGCCUUCUUAUGAUCCUAUGUGAGGAAGUGGAAACACUUGGGGGCAGAUUUAUCAACGGUCGAAUUUCGAAGUGGAAAAUAUUUCGAAAUUCGACUAUCGAAU